CUCAUUCUCAAUUCACAAAUUAAUCCCCAAAUGGAGAUGGAAAACCCUAAAUCGAUAAGGACUCGGCGGCGCCUCGCCCGUCGGCCACCGCUCCAGUCGGCGCCGCCUCCGUCUCGUGUCGCAUCCGCCAUCGGUCAACACCGUCACCGCUGCCCUCGACUCGCUGUUGAUUCGCGGGCGGUCCGGCUGAAGCGGUGAGGUCUGCCGCUGUCGCUGGCCUUCUACCGACGGCAGGAUUCUCACUGUUGGCCCCUCCUCCGCGAACGCUUAGCGCCCUCGCGGCUUUGUCGAUACAGCCCCACCCUUCGCUUGAAAAUAUGAGUUCUUUUACCAAUUCUCUAUUCUACAGUUAAAACUUGUUGAAGCUAUUUGGUGAUUCUUAGUCCAUUAGGGAAGUUGGGAACUAAGGCAGAUUAGCAAGCUUUGAAUUUUAGGCCGAGAGUUAUGAAUUUAUUUGUUGGCUGUGGGGAGAAAUGUUUCGACAUUAUCUGGAGGAGCUUGCAUAAAGAUGAGGUUUUUCUAUGUUAUGUAUACUACUUAAGCUACUGAUCUUGGUGUAAAGGUAGUAACUUAAGGCUUCUAGUUCUAUUGUUUCUACAUGAUGACAUAAAAGAAAGGGUAUUUAAACUUGGAAUGGGGGAAGAGUUACUUGUUGAGAGGCUGUGAAGAAGUGAGGAUGAAUUCUCUCUUGCUGCUGUUAGUUCUCGAUUCUCACUAGAAAAUGUUGGAUUUUUGAUGUGUGUGGAAGGGGAAAACUUGAUGCAUUUGAUGGGAUUUUUAUAAGCAAAACUUGGUGUACCUUGGGAGAGUUAAUGGAGCUGAUCCUCUUUUGUUUUCAUGUCAGCAUAUCCUUUUUUUUAUCCUCAUUGCAGCCUUUUACUUAAGAGGCUUGGUGUUAUUUGUGGUACUAGGUGUUUGACUCAUAAACAUUCUUGUUCUCAUAUGGUCUCUUAGAGCAUCCACAAUGGGGCGCUCUAUGCUCCGCCACAUUAUCUUUCUAUCCUCAUACCCUUCCAUCUGCAGUGGGACGCCCUAAAGUCCCCUUUACAGUUUUAACCACUAUUUUAUUAAUUAAUUUUUUAUGUUUUCAAAUAUGUCAUGCAAAAUUAUAAAAAAGUGCCACGAUGAAACGCAAAUCCUACAUUACUGAUUAAAAAAAUGUUACAGGAGUUAGAAAUUAAAAACAAGUUCACUACAGAUAAUAGGAAGAGCAUACUCUACAUCAUUCUCAGCUUGCGGCGCAGAUCAUCGAUCAUCCACUUGAGGUAUUCGGCUUUGCCCGUGUCCUCGCACUGCAUGAGGGCGUGGUACGUGUCUAACAACGUCCUCUGGUUGGCGGCCACCACCAACUCCGCGUAAGCAUGUCCCGCAGCCGAAGUCGGGGCCGGGGUCAGGGCCUGGGCCUGUGAGGAUGUCGCAUUCGACUUGCCCUUGUUCUUGGCAGCCUUGCUGCCAAUGGGACGCCGGGAGGACAUCGGUGUGCCGACUCUCUCAUCCUCGUACAUCGGCUGGUUGAGGUCCAUCGGAGGCGCGCCGCUGUUGCUGCUCGUAUAAUCACCGGCGGCGGUGUUCUUCGUCCUCUUCACCACAACCAUAGGGGCAGAAUCCCUCCUUCGAACUUCUGUUUGUCCUUCAAGAGGAGCCAGGAGUUGUAAUGCUUGAAAUCCCCGUACAAUGAAAUGUACGACACAAGCGCUCUAUCCCGCACAUCAGUCAAUGAAAUGUACGACGCAAGCGCUCUAUCCCGCACAUCAGUCAAACUCUCGCCGCUGCCCUACUCCGACGAAAACAAAUUGACCUGCUUUUUCACCUGAUUCCAGUGCUUGCGGAGCUGCUCCCUAUGACGCUUGUAGGCAGCCGCCAGCUUGGCCUCGUUGUAGCGAUCAGCGAUGCGCUCCCAGUACGCUAUUUACUUUUGGUUGUUGGCAAACACCGGGUCCUCUGAAAUAUCAAUCCAACACCUCGUCAAGACGAUGGUUUCAUCCGGGUUGUAGUUCGUCCUCCCUGAGGAGAACUCUUCAUUCUUUUCCGGAAGUGGCAACUUCUGGGCCCUUUGCCUGUUCUGCUUCUUCUUGGUGGCGAAGCCCGAGGCGGCGGCGGCGGCGGCGGAGCCAGAGGCGCGGCGGGGCGCGGGUGGGAGACGGCUCCAUGUCUGAUAGCCCGUAUGAAUUCGUACUGAAAUCGGAAUUGUACUGGGUGUUGGAGUCAAAGGGCCGGUAUUCUGUACCCGGCCACCGUGCACCACCACCGAACAUCGGACUAUUCGAACUUGGGUAAUCACCGGGGUUCAUUUUUAUAGUGUAAAUAGAGAAUGGAAGAGUGAAUGGAAAAGUGAGAGUGAAAGAAAGUUGUGGUGUAUAUAUAAAUUUUGAAGAAUUAAAAAAAUAAAGGAAAACGCGUUGCAUCGUCUGCUGUAUUGUCCGCCUCUCCCGCAGUGGGGUGGACGAUGCCUGGUCGAAGGCUUAUCGUCCGCGUACGAAGCAUAGGGCGCGGACGAUGGAUGUGUCAUCGUCCGCAUGGCUACAAUCGUGCGCCCCACUGUGGAUGCUCUUAGUACUUUAGCUAAUAUCUCCCUUUGUUUGAAAGUUGCAGGAAGCUCAUAGGGAGGAGGCAGGAGCUGCUGGGAGAAAGGCGAGUGCAGCUGAUUCUUGCAGGCUGCCCUCUUGGUUUGACUCAAAGAGUGAUUAUGGGUUUUUUUUUCUUAUGCACUGUCGGUUGUGAGAGGGAGGUGCAGGAGUAUUUUAGCUAUUUUAGGUAAUACUCCAAGUUCCCUUUGACAGUAGAUGUCAUCAAAAGGUUCUUGUAUCCCAAGAUGGAAGAGCAGAUUUGGGCUGCUAAUGGGCUGACCCUUGGGCCGCCAGCCCUCCGUCACCGGCUGAACCAUCGGGUCUCCAAAGGAUGUGGUCCGUGCUUGAAGAGAAGAGGCCCACUGUUUAUUUUUUUUUUUGUAUUUUAAGUUCCUUCCCAACGUGUAUAUAAUGAGGAAGUUAUUAAGGCGUAGCUUGAUAUACAUAUAAAAAAAUUCGAACACUUUUAGUUCGUGAAGAAUAUCUUUAAAUCCUUGUACAACAUUCAUUGUAUUUCCUAAACAUACUUUAGAUUGUUUUAGUUCGUUCGAUUA